rnacentral:tRNA from 1 species
CAAUACCCAAAACUGGCAUUCUAUUUAAACUACUUUCUG